UGGCACCAGCGCCAGACGGCACCGUGCACGAGCUUGGGAUACUCACGCGCGUCCAGCACUGGAUUAAACGAGCUCACCCCCAAGACCUGACGUCAGAUGUGUGGGACUGCUGGGAUAUGUGGACAGGAUAAGCGGGAUAUGUCACACACACACAGUCAGAUAAACACACAGACACAUAAGAACGCACUCAAACAGACAGACCAGUUUCACGUUCAACCUUGACCUUGGCAACAGACCACUUACCUUGACCCCAGAACUAAGCUGUCAGUCUUAACUAAACCU